CAGCGCUCACGUAGUUUUCUCCGAGACUGUAGACAACCGGGUAGACACGAUUGAAGGAGCGGUGUACGAGGGAACAGACGAACCGGCUAGAAUGGGAAUUAAGUACUAUUACAUAUUUCCCAACACUCCCUGGUGGGUGCUGUUCACUGACUACUCGUCUGUGUCGGUUGUGUACUCCUGCCAAAAUAUCCUCAACUUAUUCCAUCUGGACAACGCCUGGAUCAUCAGUCGCACCCGGUCCCUGCCCCCGGACGUGAUAAAGAAGGCCAGAGAGGUUUUGGUGCAGGAAGAAAUCGACAUCAGUACGAUGAUAGCAACAGACCAAAGAGGCUGUUUGCCUUAACAGGAAAACCCCAUGCUCACUCUUCUGCAGCUCAAUCUGGUCUUGGCGGGGCACUUGUUCUGGGAGAUGUUUUCAAACAGGGGUUUUGAUAUCUUAGCAGCAAUAUCAGCGAAUGUUUAUCACUACAGGUUGCUUAAGCCACAGCUGAAGUCCAAAAAAUAAAUAAAUAAAUAAGGAAAGAUUGCUUUGGCCAAACAGUAACUCAGCGUCUGCUCUUGCAACCAUUAUGCCAUAAUAUUAUACUCAAUUAAAAUAGUUUCUGCUGUAAUGGAAAUGUUAGUAAAUUUUCUACUCGUGUGUAUUCAUAGUUGAUGUUACACAUUCGGUAGAGGGGUAUUGACAAUUAAUGACAUGACCAGCAAUGUAGAAUUGUGUGUGUGUGUGUGUGAGAUAUCAGCAU